rnacentral:tRNA from 1 species
UAAUUGAAACCAAAGGUUAGAGGUAAAUUAUUGUUAAUAAUUAAAAUGAAUUAAAUUAUCCAAUUAA